GCGCUUUGGAAUCCUGCAAAUAUAAUAAUGAUAAUUAAACAAAACACUCAGAGAAACUGCCAACCCUAGGAUGAAGUAUAUUGUUACUGUGCUUUGGGAUUAAAAUAAGUAACUACAGUUUAUAGAACUUGUAUACUGAUACACAGACGCUAAAAAGGGAAAGGGUUUAGAUGAGAAGCUCUGCUAUGCAAUCAAGAAUCUCAGCCACUCAUUUCUGUAGGGGCUGCAGGAGCUCCCUGUAAAGAGAGGUUAUGGAGUCUGUAGCUUCAGCAACCACUGAUCCACUUCCAGUCACUAUCCAUGAGUUUUUAUUUCCAAAUACAUGAAAUCAUAGGAAUUUCUGGUUUUUCCUGUUGGAGCCCAAGGAGCAAGGGCAGAAUGAGGAACAUGAUGUUUCUUACCGACAGUUACUCAUGACGUCUCCAUCCAGGACUGAGGGGGGCAUCCUUCUCCAUCUAGGACUGGGGGCAUCCUUCUCCAUCCAGUAUUGGGGGUCUUCCUCCUCCAUCCAGGACUUGGGGGUCAUCCUCCUCCAUCCAGGACCUGAGGGGUGUCCUUUUCUGCGCUUCCUUGGAUGGCAGUCUUUCCCUUCAUGUUUAUAGUGACUUACCAUUAAAUCACUGUGCCGUUUUUUCCUAAAAUAUAUGGGGU
rnacentral:lncRNA from 1 species